AUUGAACGCUGGCGGCAUGCCUUACACAUGCAAGUCGAACGGUAACAGGUCUUCGGAUGCUGACGAGUGGCGAACGGGUGAGUAAUACAUCGGAACGUGCCCGAUCGUGGGGGAUAACGAAGCGAAAGCUUUGCUAAUACCGCAUAAGAUCUACGGAUGAAAGCAGGGGACCGCAAGGCCUUGCGCGAACGGAGCGGCCGAUGGCAGAUUAGGUAGUUGGUGGGAUAAAAGCUUACCAAGCCGACGAUCUGUAGCUGGUCUGAGAGGACGACCAGCCACACUGGGACUGAGACACGGCCCAGACUCCUACGGGAGGCAGCAGUGGGGAAUUUUGGACAAUGGGCGAAAGCCUGAUCCAGCCAUGCCGCGUGCAGGAUGAAGGCCUUCGGGUUGUAAACUGCUUUUGUGCGGAACGAAAAGACUCUGGUUAAUACCUGGGGUCCAUGACGGUACCGUAAGAAUAAGCACCGGCUAACUACGUGCCAGCAGCCGCGGUAAUACGUAGGGUGCAAGCGUUAAUCGGAAUUACUGGGCGUAAAGCGUGCGCAGGCGGUUAUAUAAGACAGAUGUGAAAUCCCCGGGCUCAACCUGGGAACUGCAUUUGUGACUGUAUAGCUAGAGUACGGCAGAGGGGGAUGGAAUUCCGCGUGUAGCAGUGAAAUGCGUAGAUAUGCGGAGGAACACCGAUGGCGAAGGCAAUCCCCUGGGCCUGUACUGACGCUCAUGCACGAAAGCGUGGGGAGCAAACAGG
rnacentral:rRNA from 1 species